rnacentral:siRNA from 1 species
AUGCAGAUGAAGCAGUUAGAUGA